rnacentral:rRNA from 1 species
UACGAAGGGGGCUAGCGUUGCUCGGAAUCACUGGGCGUAAAAGGUGCGUAGGCGGGUCUUUAAGUCAGGGGUGAAAUCCUGGAGCUCAACUCCAGAACUGCCUUUGAUACUGAAGAUCUUGAGUUCGGGAGAGGUGAGUGGAACUGCGAGUGUAGAGGUGAAAUUCGUAGAUAUUCGGAGGAACACCAGUGGCGAAGGCGGCUCACUGGUCCAUUACUGACGCUGAGGUGCGAAAGCGUGGGGAGCAAACAGG